rnacentral:rRNA from 1 species
UCUGNGAGGUGUAUUCUAGAUCUGUUCCUGCUUCGCUGGGGGCGCGCCCCCUCCUCUGGUCACUCCGGUUCUUCAGUUGGGGUUGUACACCGCCCGUGGUGCAUUUGCAGGCGUGUGCGCUGAGCUGUUCGAGGUGUUGGGAUGAACUUGGUUUUGAGGCCAGCUUGCUGGUACCCGGACCGGGGGAGUGCCAUUCGCCUUGGGCUUUAUGUGGAUAUGGCUUACGGGCUCGUAUGGGCGCCGAGCUGGUCGUCGGCGGCGGUCGCAUGCGACACGUGCUGUGCGUGCCAGUUCGGUCCUGUGCGAGCUCACAUGUCCCAGGCUCAGUGUAAGAGCUGGUCAUCUAUCCGACCCGUCUUGAAACACGGACCAAGGAGUUUAUCGUGUGCGCAAGUCAUUGGGUGUUGAAAACCCAGAGGCGCAAUGAAAGUGAAGGCAUCCCUCGCGGAGCCGACNUGCGAGCACGGGCACUGCGGUGUCCGAGUGCAGCAUGGCCCCAUCCUGACUGCUUGCAGUGGGGUGGAGGAAGAGCGUACGCGGUGAGACCCGAAAGAUGGUGAACUAUUCCUGAGCAGGAUGAAGCCAGAGGAAACUCUGGUGGAAGUCCGAAGCGAUUCUGACGUGCAAAUCGAUCGUCUGACUUGGGUAUAGGGGCGAAAGACUAAUCGAACCAUCUAGUAGCUGGUCUUCCAAAAA